rnacentral:lncRNA from 1 species
UUUUUUUACAGAAUAUGUUUGAUGAUUUCAGAUGAGCCACCGGUCAAUAUGUAUAAGAAAGACCAUGGAGGUCGGAGACUUAUCCUUGGGGAUUCCCUCUCCCGGGGGAAUUAGAGGAAUUCCCAACUGCAAAGUACUUGCCCAUCCUGGAGCCAGAUUACAGAAAAUAAAUGUUUUAUUAGACAA